rnacentral:rRNA from 1 species
AACGAACGCUGGCGGCGUGCCUAACACAUGCAAGUCGAACGCGAACGGGUCUUCGGACCCUAGUAGAGUGGCGCACGGGUGAGUAACACGUGGGCAAUCUACCCAGGGAUUUGGGAUAACCAGGGGAAACCCUGGCUAAUACCGAAUACGUCCAUGAGGCCUUCGGUCCUCAUGGAGAAAGGUGGCCUCUUCUCGAAAGCUGCCGUUCCUGGAUGAGCCCGCGGACCAUUAGCUUGUUGGUGAGGUAACGGCUCACCAAGGCCAUGAUGGUUAGCUGGUCUGAGAGGAUGAUCAGCCACACUGGGGCUGACACACGGCCCAGACUCCUACGGGAGGCAGCAGUGGGGAAUCUUGCGCAAUGGGGGAAACCCUGACGCAGCAACGCCGCGUGGGUGAUGAAGGCCCUUGGGUCGUAAAGCCCUGUCUGGAGGAAAGAAUCCCGCUCUCGCUAAUACCGGGAGUGGAUGACGGUACCUCUGAAGGAAGCACCGGCUAACUCCGUG